AUUGAACGCUGGCGGCAGGCCUAACACAUGCAAGUCGAGCGGAUGAAGGAGGCGCGCGCCUGGAUUCAGCUGCGGACGGGUGGGUGAGUCCUAGGAAGCUACCUUACAUUUGGGAAUAACGUCCCGUAACGGGCGCGAAGACCGCAUACGUCAAUAUAUAGAAAGGGGUGGAUCUUCGGAGAUCGCGCUAUCUGAUGAGCCUCGGUCGUAUUAGCGAGUUGGUGUGGUAAAGGCCUACCAAGGCGACGAUCCGUAACUGGUCUGAGAGGAUGAUCAGUCACACUGGAACUGAGACACGGUCCAGACUCCUACGGGAGGCAGCAGUGGGGAAUCUUCGGCAAUGGGCGAAAGCCUGAUCCAGCCACGCCGCGUGUGUGAAGAAGGUCUUCGGAUCGUAAAGCUCUUUUAGUUGGGAGGAACGACAGUAUGAGAAUCUCUUGCCGUCUUGACGGUACCUAAUCAGUAAGCCCCGGCUAACUUCGUG
rnacentral:rRNA from 1 species